GGCGUUUAAGCAAAAAGUAUUUAAAAAGAUUAAAAUAGCUGUUUUGUUGUAAGCCAAGGGAACAGCAUAAAAAUAAAGGCAAUAUCGUUAGUCAACAUCACAAUUAGUCAUUAGAAAGGUGUUUAGUUUUACAAUAAUUUUGUAAAAAUGCUGUUUCCUGUGGGCAACAUCCUGUUACUAACUAACCAGGACACUAAGGACUUUGACAUUCUUAUCACUUCAUAUAUGAGUUAAGACUAACAUAUAUAUCUGUCCUAAAAAAUUUUUUAGCUCCUUCCAUUUUAAUUCGGGCAUGAGAGGGUUAUUAUUAUUGGCAUACACAUUGUGAUAUUUUUACACUUUUGCAACCAGUUGCGACAGAGUAUUAAAGCUUUGUUCACCUAACGGUUGCAAGUAUCAGCUAAAACUAAUCGAGAUAGAUAUACAGCGCACGCUCGCUAAUGUGAACACUCCAUAGUUCGAACACCCUAUAAUGUGAACAGACUUUUUUAUGCAUUGACUACUCUAUAAUGUGAACAAACCCAAAAGGCUCUAUAAUAUGAACAAAAGACGUUAAAGUAUUUGAAUGUAGUUUACACAGAUCUCAGCUAAUUCUGAAUUUGGGGAAUCCCCUAAUUGUAGAAUAAGACUAUCAUUUGUAUUGCAUGUAAUGCGUAGAAUACUUCAGUUGCAAUUUUGUAUUCGCGUGGAGUGUUUCGUUUUAGAUUUUCUGUUAAAAAUGAACUCAAAAAAACCCCCUUAUUUGACAUUGAAGCAAGAAGCUGAUAUUCUCGAUUCUUUAAAAAGAGGCUAAUCUAUGACGUUCUUAGCAGAAAAAUAUAAUGUUGCUAAAUUAACAAUUUGUGGAAUCAAAGCAAAAAACAAGUGAUUUUAAAGUUCGGGAACAACACAUACUCGGGACCUGGACAAAGAAGAACUCUGCGUCCUUCAGAGCUGCCCAAAAUGGAGAAAGCUCUUUAUCGUUUGUUUAUCAAAAUGCGGAAUAAAAACUGGCUAGUAAGUGCCUUAAUGUUGAAAGAAAAGGCCAAAGUACUGCAUGCACAAGUAAAGGAAAAUGAAUCUAACUUCAACGCUAGUGAUGGAUGGCUUCACUGCUGCAAAUAUCCGGCGAAAAACUAUAUUCGCUGCCUCAGCUAGUGGAUCCAUUUAAGGAAAAACUUAGAGCUAAAAUGGCCGAACUGGAGCUGUGUAACGACCAGUUAUAUAAUGCUGAUGAGUCAGGCUUAUUCUGAAAACUUCUGCCAGAAAAAACUUUGUUUUUUAGGUAACGUAAUUUUUAAAGGAGAAAGGUUUGCCAAUUAAUGCUCUACUCCUAACCGACAACGCUCCUUCUCACUCAAAUGAAGCUCAGCUGGCAACGGAGGAUGGACAAAUUUUGGCAAUGUUUAUGCCACCAAACGGUGAUCCAACCAAUGGAUCAAAAUGCCAUAAAGACCACAAAGUUACAUUACAGAAACAGCCUUUUAGCCUCAAUAGCAGCUACAAACUCCAAUUUACUCGAUUCGAUGAAAAAAAUUACUUUACGAAGAGCUAUAAAUCUUUUGGAUGUCGCUUGGAAUCGUGUCAGCGAAGUAACAUCAGCCAAUUGUUGGAAAAAUAUUUUAAAUUUUAGGGAGAUGAUGAUGAUCCCGAAGAUAGUGUUCCGCUCGCAGUUUUAAAAGAAAAAUGGGGAGCUGAACUUCGCGCCUUGAUGAGCAAUACCGUCGAUCUCUUUAACAGUUAGAAUGUUCAGGCUGAAUUAACGCUACCAGGCGUUCAUGAAUGGAACGAAGAUAUUGAAGAUGCUAAUGCAAAUGACGAGCAUGAAGAAGAAGACGAUUCCGAUGAAGGCAGCGUAUCGGAGGUAGAGGAGAAAAUUAAGCAGACUGAAGCAGUUGAAAUUUUCAACAAGGUCAUGAAGACCUCGAUCCAAAUUAUGAAAAUGUACUAAGACGUCUAAGAGAGAAUGCUGUGCUCCAACUUUUAGAAACACAGAGGAUUCCGGAAAGGAUGACUGAUUUUUUCAAAUAAAACCUAGAUUUUGUAUAAUAUGUGUUACGUAAAAAUGUAUAUGUAA